AUUGAACGCUGGCGGCAGGCCUAACACAUGCAAGUCGAGCGAGCGGCGGACGGGUGAGUAAUGUAUGGGGAUCUGCCUGAUGGCGGGGGAUAACUACUGGAAACGGUAGCUAAUACCGCAUACCAUCAGAUGAACCCAUAUGGGAUUAGCUUGUAGGUGAGGUAACGGCUCACCAAGGCAACGAUCCGUAGCUGGUUUGAGAGGACGACCAGCCACACUGGGACUGAGACACGGCCCAGACUCCUACGGGAGGCAGCAGUGGGGAAUUUUGGACAAUGGGGGAAACCCUGAUCCAGCCAUGCCGCGUGUAUGAAGAAGGCCUUCGGGUUGUAAAGUACUUUCAGCGGGGAGGCGUUACCCGCAGAAGAAGCACCGGCUAACUCCGUGCCAGCAGCCGCGGUAAUAC
rnacentral:rRNA from 1 species